rnacentral:rRNA from 1 species
UACGUAGGGUGCGAGCGUUGUCCGGAAUUAUUGGGCGUAAAGAGCUCGUAGGCGGCUUGUCGCGUCGUUCGUGAAAACUCACAGCUCAACUGUGGGCGUGCGGGCGAUACGGGCAGACUAGAGUACUGCAGGGGAGACUGGAAUUCCUGGUGUAGCGGUGAAAUGCGCAGAUAUCAGGAGGAACACCGGUGGCGAAGGCGGGUCUCUGGGCCGAUACUGACGCUGAGGAGCGAAAGCGUGGGGAGCGAACAGG